rnacentral:rRNA from 1 species
UACGUAGGGUGCAAGCAUUAAUCGGAAUUACUGGGCGUAAAGCGUGCGCAGGCGGUUAUGUAAGACAGGUGUGAAAUCCCCGGGCUUAACCUGGGAACUGCAUUUGUGACUGCAUAGCUAGAGUACGGUAGAGGGGGAUGGAAUUCCGCGUGUAGCAGUGAAAUGCGUAGAUAUGCGGAGGAACACCGAUGGCGAAGGCAAUCCCCUGGACCUGUACUGACGCUCAUGCACGAAAGCCAGGGGAGCAAACGGG